UUCAGCUUAAUAUGUAAUGCCAAGGCCAGGCUGUGAAAAUAUUAGUCCUUUUGGUGAACGACGCCGUUUAGGUGAGGGAUUUUUUUUUUUCUUUUCAUGGUUUCGCUCCCUCCCCACGACAGUUUCUACUCCAUUUUCCCUUCCCCAACGUUUCACCCCUUCUCACGCCAUUUCAGAUUUGCAUUCCCCAAUAUUUCCUCAACCGUUUUCCCCUUCUGUUACCCACAUCUUCUUUUCUCUCAAAUGCUCUCCCUCAUUUUUAUCCCUUUUCCCUGUUAUCAUAUCAACCUGGUUGCUCCUCAAGUUUCCAUAGCCAACCACCCAACCCGUGUACAUACAUGUUGGCACCGAGAGUAAGGAACCAACCACGCAGCCUCUCAUCAUGACCAAAACUCCCCAAGCCACCUGCCUCCAGUUCACGAAAACACCUCCCAACACAAAACGCAGCAACCACGGGAAAACAACCACUGCCCAAGCACCAACGCAAGCCACCGUUGCCAUCCCCACCUUUUAGCAGUACUGUGUUCCUUCCUCCCAUGAGAUUCUUCACCGUCGGCCACUAAGCACCAUCACAAGUCACCACAAGAGAACCCAUACUAGCCUCUCUUUCCAUACACGACUCUACCCUUACCACCGUGCCCAGCCAACCUCACCAGCUUAAAUGUAAUCACCGCACAGCCUUUCCCUCGUCCAAGCGGUCCCCUGUUUUAGUCACUAAAAACAGAGCUGCAAGCACGCCCUCGUGACCCACACAGUUGCGACCAUCCUCCUCCACUCGACCACCUCGCAUGCCGCCGGGAAGCUUUCGUCACCCCGGUCCGCCACUCCUCUCUCUCGCCUCCCAGGAUCUCCAGCGUUUUCACCUUUGCCGCCCAAAUCCGUUGCAACUCCUUCCCCCACGAUGAUAUUGAUGACCCAGUUGGGAGUAAGGAAUAGAAAUUAGAGCUUGGCUAGCUAUGGAUAGAAGGUUGGGUACCUAAGGAUACCAAUAUAUUUAGAAGGGUUUGAUUUGGAGUAUUUGGAGUUCUUUAUGUCUUUUGGAUCUAUUGAGACUUAUUUAAAUUUUCAGUCUCUUAUGUUAAGGUUACUAGAAAAUUGUGGAGACAAUGAUUUAUGUUAAUUGAUUUUUUCAUUUUGAUGACUUUAUGGAUGAUUUUAUUUAUUAAGUUGAUAAGGAUGACUUUAUGUCUGUUUUGAAA